GCCGCGUACGGCGGCGCGGCCGCCGGUCCGCUGGAGGCGGUCCGGGUGCAGCGGGCGAUCGCCUCGCUCUCGCCGUCCC
rnacentral:tRNA from 1 species